AAUUCCAGCUCCAAUAGUGUAUAUUAGAGUUGUUGCAGUUAAAAAGCUCGUAGUUGGAUUUCUGCUGUGGUCAUCCGGUACCGCCCGUAUGGGUGCGCACCUGGUUUGGCUCCGGCUUUCUUCCUGUAGCCGUCCGCGCUUAAUUGCGUGUACUGUGUUACGGAACUUUUACUUUGAGAAAAAUAGAGUGUUUCAAGCAGGCUUGUCGCCCUGAAUACUUCAGCAUGGAAUAAUAGGAUAGGACCUUGGUUCUAUUUUGUUGGUUUCUAGGACCAAGGUAAUGAUUAAUAGGGACAGUUGGGGGCAUUCGUAUUUAACUGUCAGAGGUGAAAUUCUUAGAUUUGUUAAAGACGAACUACUGCGAAAGCAUUUGCCAAGGAUGUUUUCAUUAAUCAAGAACGACAGUAGGGGGUUUGAAGACGAUUAGAUACCGUCGUAAUCUCUACCAUAAACUAUGCCGACUAGAGAUAGGGAAAUGCCUACCUUGGCUUCUCCUG
rnacentral:rRNA from 1 species